rnacentral:miRNA from 1 species
CCUGCAGAGAGGAAGCCCUUC